AGGACCCAACUCUCUUGAAGGAGAAGGUUAAUCUUGUCUCUUUGGACCUUGGGUGUGGUUGUGUAUGUGUGAAUAUUGGAGCUUGAUUGGUGAUUUUGGAAAGCUUAAAAAGGGAUUUGGUGGUGAAAAAUCUGUUCUUGGAGGUGUUGAGGCCUUGAGAGCUUGAGGAAAAGUGGUUUGGAAGUGCUCAGGUUGAGCUUGGAAAAUCGGCUAAGGUAUGGUUUCGGUUUCCCAUAUCUAAUUUGUAAUGUGGUAGGAAAUACUUAGGCUAGAGGCCCUAAGAUAGGCAUUGAAUUGUUGAUGUUGUUAAAUGGUUGAUAUAUAUGAUGUGGUCAUAAAUGUGAUGAUGAUUAUUUAUGCCUUAAUGUAAUGUAUGAGAAAUAUGCAUGUUGUGAUAUAUGCUUGAUGGUUGAUUAUGGUUGAAUUGUGGGUGGAACCAUGUUAAUGGUGAGUAUGAUAUUGAUUGUGUACAAUGAUGAUUUAUUGGAAUUGGUGUUGUUAAAAAUUGGCAUGAGGAAGAGUAUAUAAUAUGUCAAUGUGUUUGAGUUUGAGCCACUUGGGUGAAGUGGGUUAAAAUGAUGGGAUAGUGAUUUUGUAAAUUGUGGUAAUGUGUCAAUGUGUGAGUUGAGGAGGCUUGAUGUUGAAUUUGAUAUAUUUUGAUUGAUUU